GGAUCCCUUCCUCGUUCAUGAUGAAUCCGGGCUGUGUAGUGAGGAAGACUGUCAUCUCUUUUGGCUAUCCCUGCUGCUAAGCCAAAGAACAAGGCCUCAGACUGUCACCGCGAAAGAAAGCCCGUACACAGCUCUUGGAGAAGAUUCUGUGGCCCACUUAGGACCAAAUCAAGAACUGCCUCUUCCCCUUUUGGGUUCCUGAACAAGCUGCUCCAAGAAGCAAUCAGUAAUGGUGCUUAUUUUACAGUCAUGCCCGCA